rnacentral:rRNA from 1 species
UCUAGAGGCUUCGGCAAUGGGGGCAACCCUGACCGAGCGACGCCGCGUGUGGGAUUGAAGGCGUUUACGUCGUAAACCACUGCUUGAGGGGAAGAAUGCCCGAAUGGCGAAUUCGGGAGAGACGGUACUCUCAAAGAAAGCCCCGGCUAA